AAAAAUAUCAACGCGGUACACCG
rnacentral:snRNA from 1 species